rnacentral:rRNA from 1 species
AGUGAACGCUGGCGGUGGGCCUAACACAUGCAAGUCGAACGGCAGCACAGUAAGAGCUUGCUCUUACGGGUGGCGAGUGGCGGACGGGUGAGGAAUACAUCGGAAUCUACUUUUUCGUGGGGGAUAACGUAGGGAAACUUACGCUAAUACCGCAUACGACCUACGGGUGAAAGCAGGGGAUCUUCGGACCUUGCGCGAUUGAAUGAGCCGAUGUCGGAUUAGCUAGUUGGCGGGGUAAAGGCCCACCAAGGCGACGAUCCGUAGCUGGUCUGAGAGGAUGAUCAGCCACACUGGAACUGAGACACGGUCCAGAGUCCUACGGGAGGCAGCAGUGGGGAAUAUUGGACAAUGGGCGCAAGCCUGAUCCAGCCAUACCGCGUGGGUGAAGAAGGCCUUCGGGUUGUAAAGCCCUUUUGUUGGGAAAGAAAAGCAGCAGGUUAAUACCCCGCUGUUCUGACGGUACCCAAAGAAUAAGCACCGGCUAACUUCGUG